GACGAACGCUGGCGGCGUGCUUAACACAUGCAAGUCGAACGGCAAGGCCCUGCUUUUGUGGGGUGCUCGAGUGGCGAACGGGUGAGUAACACGUGAGUAACCUGCCCUUGACUUUGGGAUAACUUCAGGAAACUGGGGCUAAUACCGGAUAGGAGCUCCUGCUGCAUGGUGGGGGUUGGAAAGUUUCGGCGGCUGGGGAUGGACUCGCGGCUUAUCAGCUUGUUGGUGGGGUAGUGGCUUACCAAGGCUUUGACGGGUAGCCGGCCUGAGAGGGUGACCGGCCACAUUGGGACUGAGAUACGGCCCAGACUCCUACGGGAGGCAGCAGUGGGGAAUAUUGCACAAUGGGAGGAAGCCUGAUGCAGCAACGCCGCGUGCGGGAUGACGGCCUUCGGGUUGUAAACCGCUUUCGCCUGUGACGAAGCGUGAGUGACGGUAAUGGGUAAAGAAGCACCGGCUAACUACGUG
rnacentral:rRNA from 1 species